GUGGACUGUCAACAGUUUCUGCUUUUUCUGCAGGCUGGCGCUGAAUAGUAGAAACGUGCUAUCUUUUGUCGAAGUGGUGAUUAACAGGUACUCUGGAUUCCGUGCUGCUCACCCCGACCCCCAGAAGAACCAAGAAAACAGACCAGAGACAUCCUGCCAGAAGCAACAGCAGCACUGAUUACUUGUUAUGUAAUCAGACACCCUGGAAUGCAACACAAGAAAGACCAAGUUAACUUUGCAACCAAGUAUAUAUACACAUAUGUGUUAGCUGUACUAUACUGUAUAUACUAUAAAAACAAUCUGUCUUUGUUCAUGUUUGUUUUUUAUAAUACUGGGUUAUGUAAAUGACACUCCAUUAUGGGUGUGGCACUAUGGGUACUGUUUGUGUUGGGUUUACUAUGCUUUUUAAUAAGAUGACAACCAAGCUAUACACUGAGGGUUAUCUGUUUGUAUUUAUCAUCUCUGAUCCAAUUAAUCAAGAAUGGUAAAAAUACUACUACCGAAUCUUAUUCAUCAUUGCUUGUUGAAGUAUCUAGUAUGACUGGGAUGAACUGUAAAACCUGUUUCUCCCAUGAUACACACAAAAAACAAACAAAAAAAAAAGACAGCAAUUUUGUCCAGGUCUAGAAUAAGGAAAUGUUCUGUGAUACCAGAGCUCUGCUUACUCUUUUUUAUGAUUGGUAUGAAGAUGCAUAAUUAGCAACAACAGAUGAAUUAUACUAGUCAUUCUUAACUCCAUGAAUUUGUGAAACAUUACAUUAUUGUCACUAUUGAUCAGCUCACUGACAGGCGAAUUGUCAGCUAUAUGACUGGUACGAUAUAUUCAUUUUCUGACCAUCAUUGUCUUAUGAGCUAUUAUGCUGAAAAAACUAUAGUUUUAUCAAUAUUCAUGGUAUCUAUUUUAACAAUGCAUUACAACAUAAUUUUUUUUUUCUUUUUUUUAAACCGAAUGAAGAAGGGAGACAGAAUAAUAUUGCUUUAAUCUCUCUCACCCUAUUCACACGGCAAACUGAAAAAAAAAAAAAAAAAAAAAAACAUAAAGCUCAGAAAACCCCCAGAUUCAUGUUUGUCUCCCCGUGAAUGAACUCCACCGGCUUCCAUUUUCAACCAAAAAAAAAUGUACUUUUAGUGAACAGCCUCCAGUGGGAACAGGUCUUAUCAAGAAAAGAAAAAACGCUUCCAAAAAAAACAGCUUUGCUUAAAUAACUCCCAGUAGACAGUUUUAAAUUCUGAAUGUUUUGUUUUGUGUGAUUAAUUAAAAUUCAUGACUUUACUGUGAGAUAUUUAUGUGUGAUAGACUAAAAUAAAUAAAUAAAAAAAAACUGAAGAAUCUCAAGGUAAAACUGCGUCAAGGAGACAAACAUUUCACAAUUGCCUUCAUCUGUGACUAAAAGUCUAGUUUUCUUUGUAAGCUAAAGCCUAAAAACAUUGCAUUUCUGCACUUCAGAAAAUGAAUUCUUUUCAGCAGUGAGAUGUUUGUACUGAAGAGGAAGUAGCCUGAUCGUUGCUAAGCAACAGCACCAGGCACCUGCACAAUACUCGGUUCCCUAAAAUUAGGAAGGUGUCAAAAUAAAGGGCUUUCAAGAACAGUGAGCUAACAUUUAAACACAGAAAGGGAUGCUUACACUUCAUGUUAUCAGUGAGUACCAAAGGUUGGGCCAGAGCUCAUUUGUAGAAGUCUUAUCAUAGGGGUUUGAAUUUAACAUUUAAAACAGCAAACAAGAACAGAGAAGCUUUGUGUAGGAUGAUGUCGCUGCCACUUCAAUCACUGGCCAUUUUUAUUGUUUUUUAUUCCCAGAAAAAAGUAUUUUGCAAUAAAUGGAGAGAAUAUUGGACCAUUGUU